UCGCGGGAGGCCGCAAAUUCCCGCCUAGAGCCCCGCGAGGAUUUCGCUGUUGGGGUCGGGUCUCGCCUGAGCGCGAGCUAAUGGGGGCGGGGGCGGCGCGCCGGGGAGGACUCUGUGAGGCAGCUGCAGUCCGCUUCCCUCCCCAGCACCGGCCCCGCCAGUUCCCUGGGCGGUGUCCGCUGGGAGGUCUCCGGCGCGAACCGUCACUCCGCCCAACACUCACAAUGGAGAGAUAAACAAGCAAAAAUCUACUAGCAAGCCAGCUGUCUAUCCCCAGUGAAAAACACAAACUGUGGUAUGUUCACGAAAAGGAAUUUUACCCUGGCAUGAAAAAUCCUCAGACCACAGCUGCAAGCAACAACACAGGUGUGUUGGAGGCCUCAGUGUCCAUGGACCACUCCACUGCCGCCUGGGUUCAGUCUGUCCAGCACAGAUUUGGGAAGCACCUGGGCAAGCUGCAGAGGUCCAGUUAAAGCUGCCAUUGUGCAUGUCAUGUUGUGUUAUGUUACAUGGCUCUAUGUUACUCCGUGUUGCUUUGUAGCUAUAUUCUGUUGUGCAUUAUGUGUUGUUGCGUUACGUUGCUCAAGCUAUGUAUCAUAUCAUAUUACUACAUUAUAUUGUUUUAGGCUAUAGACCUAUGGUUGCAACAGAGAAAAAUUAUAAUUUUGUCUGAAUUGAGGAUGGAGUAA